rnacentral:rRNA from 1 species
GACGAACGCUGGCGGCAGGCCUAACACAUGCAAGUCGAACGAGUGGCGAACGGGUGAGUAAUGUCUGGGAAACUGCCUGAUGGAGGGGGAUAACUACUGGAAACGGUAGCUAAUACCGCAUACCCUCAGAUGUGCCCAGAUGGGAUUAGCUUGUUGGUGGGGUAACGGCUCACCAAGGCGACGCUCCCUAGCUGGUCUGAGAGGAUGACCAGCAAAACGGGAACUGAGACACGGUCCAGACUCCUACGGGAGGCAGCAGUGGGGAAUAUUGCACAAUGGGGGAAAGCCGGAUGCAGCCAUGCCGCGUGUAUGAAGAAGGCCUUCGGGUUGUAAAGUACUUUCAGCGGGGAGGCGUUACCCGCAGAAGAAGCACCGGCUAACUCCGUGCCAGCAGCCGCGGUAAUUC